CGUAAAGCGCGCGUAGGUGGAUAUUUAAGUCGAAUGUGAAAGCCCCGGGCUCAACCUGGGAAUUGCAUGCGAUACUGGAUAUCUAGAGUAUAGUAGAGGGAAGUGGAAUUCCGGUGUAGCGGUGAAAUGCGUAGAUAUCGGAAGGAACAUCAGUGGCGAAGGCGGCUUCCUGGACUAAUACUGACACUGAGGUGCGAAAGCGUGGGUAGCAAAGAGGAUUAGAGACCCUUGUAGUCCACGCUGUAAACGAUGACAACUCGCUGUUGGCCCCCUCAAUAACUUUCUUUUUUACGAGAGUUAUAGAGGGGGUUAGUAGCUUAGCUAACGCGUUAAGUUGUCCGCCUGGGGAGUACGGCCGCAAGGCUAAAACUCAAAGGAAUUGACGGGGGCCCGCACAAGCGGUGGAGCAUGUGGUUUAAUUCGAUGCAACGCGAAAAACCUUACCUACCCUUAACAUCCUUGGAAUCUUCUAGAGAUAGAAGAGUGCCUUCGGGAACCAGGUGAUAGGUGCUGCAUGGCU
rnacentral:rRNA from 1 species